GAAAUGCGAUACGUAAUGCGAAUUGCAGAAUUCAGUGAAUCAUCGAAUCUUUGAACGCAAGUUGCGCUUUCGAGAGCCCUCGGAAGCAUGCCUCUCUGAGUAUCGGUUUCUACAUCUCACACUUGCUUGUGUGGAGAAUGGGAGUUGCUUGUUUUUGGCAUCUCUUGAAGUCAGCACGUCGGCCAAAGUCCAUCGGGUUCUUGGAACGAUAAUCCGUCAUGGCGCCAGAAAACCAUACACAAGAUCUCAGAUGAGGUAAGACUACCCGCCGAAUUUAA
rnacentral:misc_RNA from 1 species